rnacentral:rRNA from 1 species
AACAGGAUUAGAUACCCUGGUAGUCCACGCCGUAAACGAUGUCGACUUGGAGGUUGUGCCCUUGAGGCGUGGCUUCCGGAGCUAACGCGUUAAGUCGACCGCCUGGGGAGUACGGCCGCAAGGUUAAAACUCAAAUGAAUUGACGGGGGCCCGCACAAGCGGUGGAGCAUGUGGUUUAAUUCGAUGCAACGCGAAGAACCUUACCUGGCCUUGACAUCCAGAGAACUUAGCAGAGAUGCUUUGGUGCCUUCGGGAACUCUGAGACAGGUGCUGCAUGGCUGUCGUCAGCUCGUGUUGUGAAAUGUUGGGUUAAGUCCCGCAACGAGCGCAACCCUUAUCCUUUGUUGCCAGCGGUUCGGCCGGGAACUCAAAGGAGACUGCCGGUGAUAAACCGGAGGAAGGUGGGGAUGACGUCAAGUCAUCAUGGCCCUUACGGCCAGGGCUACACACGUGCUACAAUGGCGCAUACAAAGAGAAGCGACCUCGCGAGAGCAAGCGGACCUCAUAAAGUGCGUCGUAGUCCGGAUUGGAGUCUGCAACUCGACUCCAUGAAGUCGGAAUCGCUAGUAAUCGUAGAUCAGAAUGCUACGGUGAAUACGUUCCCGGGCCUUGUACACACCGCCCGUCACACCAUGGGAGUGGGUUGCAAAAGAAGUAGGUAGCUUAACCUUCGGGAGGGCGCUUACCACUUUGUGAUUCAUGACUGGGGUGAAGUCGUAACAAGGUAACC